rnacentral:rRNA from 1 species
AUUGCCUCAGUAGCGGCGAGUGAAGCGGCAAGAGCUCAGAUUUGAAAUCUCACCUAGUGUGCGAGUUGUAAAUUGCAGGUUGGAGUCUCGGGUUAGACGUGUGUGCAAGUCCCUUGGAACAGGGUGCCACUGAGGGUGAGAGCCCCGUAGCGUGCAUGUCGACACCUGUGAGGCCCUUCUGACGAGUCGAGUUGUUUGGGAAUGCAGCUCUAAGUGGGUGGUAAAUUCCAUCUAAGGCUAAAUAUUGGCGAGAGACCGAUAGCGAACAAGUACUGUGAAGGAAAGAUGAAAAGCACUUUGAAAAGAGAGUGAAACAGCACGUGAAAUUGUUGAAAGGGAAGGGUAUUGGGCUCGACAUGGGAUUUACGCAUCGUUGCCUCUCGUGGGCGGCGCUCUGGGUUUUUCCUGGGCCAGCAUCGGUUUUCGUUGCAGGAUAAGGACAAUUGGAAUGUGGCUCCUCGGAGUGUUAUAGCCUUUUGUAGAUGCUGCGUAUGGGGACCGAGGGCUGCGGCGGACUCGUUUCGUCUCGGAUGCUGGCACAACGGCGCAAUACCGCCCGUCUUGAAC